rnacentral:rRNA from 1 species
GACGUAGGAGGCGAGCGUUGUCCGGAGUUACUGGGCGUAAAGCGCGCGCGGGCGGUCUGCUAAGUUUGGAGUGACAGUUGGUGGCUUAACUGCCAAAGUGCUUCGAAAACUGACAGACUUGAGGGCUUCAGAGGGACACGGAAUUCCGGGUGGAGUGGUGAAAUGCGUAGAGAUCCGGAGGAACACCAAAGGCGAAGGCAGUGUCCUGGGGAGUACCUGACGCUCAGGUGCGAAAGCCAGGGGAGCGAACGGG